rnacentral:rRNA from 1 species
AUACGUAGGGGGCAAGCGUUAUCCGGAUUUACUGGGUGUAAAGGGAGCGUAGGCGGCAAGGCAAGUCUGAUGUGAAAACCCGGGGCUCAACCCCGGGACUGCAUUGGAAACUGCUUAGCUAGAGUGUCGGAGAGGUAAGUGGAAUUCCUAGUGUAGCGGUGAAAUGCGUAGAUAUUAGGAGGAACACCAGUGGCGAAGGCGACUUACUAAACUGUUACUGACGCUGAUGCACGAAAGCGUGGGGAGC